rnacentral:sRNA from 1 species
GGAUAGAAGGGCAAUCUGGCUAUGAUAUCUGUCACCCCACAGUCGGCCAGGGGUGAACAUCUUAUCUAGCUGGCUGGGGAAAAGGGGUUACACAGCUUCAUGUGUAACCCUCCAAAGCAGAGGAUGAUCUUACCCAGUAGAGAAGGAUUGCUUUUCCAUCAAGUGUAUAGUGGCAGCUGCAUUCCUGUGUUGGAACCUCUAAAGGAGAUCUCCAUAAACCAGAGUCUGAGAUUUACUCCCAUUAAGAAGACAAGAUAUUCUUCUGAUAAUAUAUUAUCUUAAAGGCUCUA